CUCUUCCGUCUGCCUCCCUGAGUCACGUUCUCCUCUCCAUCAGUCAGGGACGUGGCCCUUGCUGUCCGCGGGCCCCGGGUGGUGGUUCUCUCCUGGGAAGCCUUAGAGUUCUCAUGUCCACCCGCGGAGCGAGAAAGGAUGUGAUUUCCAGGAGCUGCAGCCUAAUGAGAGGACGAAGCCGAUACCUCCUAGAGAGACUGAGAAGGAGCCCGAGACGGGUCGUGGACAUCCCAUGAAUAUCAGAUACCAUAUUUUGGAGGGGUUAGAAGAAGGGGAUAUGGUGGUCACAUUUGCUUCCACGGAUUCCAAUCAAUCUUCCCUUGGAAACACACACACCCUGGCAAGUGAUCUUUCCUAAGCAAGAGCAAAGCUAUUUUAAAAAGGAUCCCAUCCUCCUCCUCCUUCCCUGUGCCCCAGCUCCAC
rnacentral:lncRNA from 1 species